ensembl:lncRNA
GAGGAAGGCCCGCUCGCAGCACGUCAGAAAGGAAUUGGACUCGGAGAGAAAUGAGGGGCCUGGACUCGCCCGGGAACGAAAGUGGAAACGGGAAAGGAAAUGGAAGAAGGGAUGCAAGGCACGAAGGAGCUAACCAAUAAGGGGUGGCAGACUAUUGGGCAUUUAGAUAAACUUCAAUUCAUCCUUCUCUCGCACUGCCAAAAGAGAGGUCUCCUGGGAGUGUCAUCCGAAGAAUGAAAUCUGCCUAACCUGGAAGAAAAAGGAUCUCACUCCAUCGCCCAGGCUGGAAUGCAGUGGCAGCAGCACAAUCUCAGCUCACUCUAACCUCUACCUCCUGAGUUCAAGCUAUUCUCCCAACUCAACCUCCCGAAUAGCUGCAAGUAAAGGUGCACCACCAUGCCUGGCUAAUUUUUUUAUAUUUAGUAGAGACAGGGUUUCACCAUGUUGGUCAGGCUGGUCUUGAACUCCUGGCCCCAAGUGAUCCACCCGCCUCGGCCUCCCAAGUGCUGGAAUUGCAGGCAUCAGCAACCGCGCCCGGCCCCUUCUAUUUAUUUCUAAAUUGAUACAGAAUUUGUCGGUGUUUGCAGAGAAUAGUACUCUCAAACCCAAACAACACUUAAUAAACCUCAUAAAUAAACAUAUGUAUACAUGGUGAUAAGGUUAGGCUUUGUGUCCCCACCCAAAUCUCAUUUUGAAUUAUAAUCUUCAUAAUCCCCAUGCAUCAAGGGAGAGACCAGGUGGAAAUAACUGAAUCAUAGGGACAGUUUUCCCCAUGCUGUUCUCAUGAUAGUGAGUUCUCACGAGAUCUGAUAGCAUUAUAAGGGGCUCUUUUCCCCUUUCCUUGGCACCUUCCUGCCACCUUGUGAAGAAGUGCCUAGCUUCCCCUUCACCUUCUGCCAUGAUUGUAAGUUUCCUGAGGCCUCUGAGGCCAUGCUGAACUGUGAGUCAGUUAAACCUCUUUCCUUUAUAAAUUACCCAGUCUCAGGCAGUUCUUUAUAGCAGUGUGAAAACUGACUAAUACAUAUGGUAAAGCAAUUUUUUGGCUACCAAGAUGCCAGAUAUAUUAAAUGUUAGAACUGAAAUGUAACUAGAGGUUACUUCAGUGAUUUGAUAGAAGAUAGUCCAUGGAAAUAAGAUAAUUAGAUUCUACUUCCAAGAAACGCAUUCAAAAUACAGAAAUCAGAGCUGGCAAAAUUUAGGCCUAACUUGACUCUCUCACCACCAGACCACUGGAAACCCUUAGACAUUCCAGCAAAGUUACUGUCUGUGGUUGACAUUGCAGUCAAAACUUGGCUCUGCUUAUAUGAUGGUUUAGUUGGCUCCUGCAUUUUAUUGCUAAAGCUGGAUUUUACUGAGUUCUUCUUUCUUUGACCUACUUUCAUGUAGCAUCCCCUCCUUCUUCCGCAUAGGACAGAAACUUCCAAAUGAAUGGGAUAAUGGGAAAAGACAGGAUAGUAUCUCUUCGCUUGAAUGUUACAGUAGGUAGUCAGACAUGAGCAGGGCAGGAGAACCACCCUCUCCAAUACCAACCAGGAAUGUCAGGCAACCAUCAGGUGAUGGUCAGGUGGUUGUUAACUGUGUCUCUAAAAUAGUAAUUGGUUACAGCCAGUGCCAGGAAAAGACAGUCUCCUAAUAGAUAGAAACCCCUGAUACUGGUGAUCAGCAGCUUCUUGAUAAGAUCUCAAGAGUUGGGCAAGUGAGCUCAAGCACAUGCACUAAGAAGCAAAAUCAUAGAGUUUAACCACUACAUGACCUCAUAGGAACAUUUGACUGGUAAGGGAGGAACGCCUGAAGUGAGCAUGCGUACAACUCCAGUAAACACAAUGCACAUGCAGCCCCUCCCAAGCGCUGGCAGGCCACUAUGCAUGUGGAAUGCCAACGUAUAAGACCCCAAGUCAAGGUCACACCGGACACUUCAUCUCUCAAGUGACUCACUUGGCUCUCUUCCAAGUGUACUUUAUCUCCUUUCAUUCCUGUUCAAAAGCUUUUAAAUAAACUUUAACAACUGCUCUAAAA